UACGUAGGGGGCAAGCGUUGUCCGGACUUACUGGGCGUAAAGCGCGCGCAGGCGGAUUGGUAUGUGCCGUGUGAAAGCUCCCAGCUUGCCUGGGAGAGGUCGCGGUAGACAGCCGAUCUGGAGGCUCGGAGAGGUCAGUGGAAUUCCCGGUGUAGUGGUGAAAUGCGUAGAUAUCUGGAGGAACACCGGUGGCGAAGGCGGCAUCCUGGACCGACACUGACGCUGGAGGAGCGAAAGCUAGGGGAGCAAACGGG
rnacentral:rRNA from 1 species